rnacentral:rRNA from 1 species
UGGGGAAUUUUGGACAAUGGGCGAAAGCCUGAUCCAGCAAUGCCGCGUGUGUGAAGAAGGCCUUCGGGUUGUAAAGCACUUUUGUCCGGAAAGAAAUCCUUGGCUCUAAUACAGUCGGGGGAUGACGGUACCGGAAGAAUAAGCACCGGCUAACUACGUGCCAGCAGCCGCGGUAAUACGUAGGGUGCAAGCGUUAAUCGGAAUUACUGGGCGUAAAGCGUGCGCAGGCGGUUUGCUAAGACCGAUGUGAAAUCCCCGGGCUCAACCUGGGAACUGCAUUGGUGACUGGCAGGCUAGAGUAUGGCAGAGGGGGGUAGAAUUCCACGUGUAGCAGUGAAAUGCGUAGAGAUGUGGAGGAAUACCGAUGGCGAAGGCAGCCCCCUGGGCCAAUACUGACGCUCAUGCACGAAAAGCGUGGGGAGCAAAACAGGAUUAGAUACCCUGGUAGUCCACGCCCUAAAACGAUGUCAACUAGUUGUUGGGGAUUCAUUUCCUUAGUAACGUAGCUAACGCGUGAAGUUGACCGCCUGGGGAGUACGGUCGCAAGAUUAAAAACUUAAAGGAAUUGACGGGGUCAUAGCUGUUUCCU